UCGGAUGUGGUGUACGGCGCACACCCGCUUGUGCCAAUUCCUGAAUCUGGCAAAGAUAGUGAUGCGGGGAGCCUGGGUUCGAUUCCCAGCCUCCGAA